UACGUAGGGCGCAAGCGUUGUCCGGAAUUAUUGGGCGUAAAGAGCGUGUAGGCGGCUCGGUAAGUCCGCUGUGAAAGUCCAGGGCUCAACCCUGGAAGGCCGGUGGAAACUGCCGGGCUAGAGUCCGGAAGAGGCGAGUGGAAUUCCCGGUGUAGCGGUGAAAUGCGCAGAUAUCGGGAGGAACACCAAUGGCGAAGGCAGCUCGCUGGGACGGUACUGACGCUGAGACGCGAAAGCGUGGGGAGCAAACAGG
rnacentral:rRNA from 1 species